AUUGAACGCUGGCGGCAGGCCUAACACAUGCAAGUCGAACGAGUGGCGGACGGGUGAGUAAUGUCUGGGAAUCUGCCUGAUGGCGGGGGAUAACUACUGUAAACUGUAGCUAAUACCGCAUACCAUCAGAUGUGCCCAGAUGGGAUUAGCUAGUAGGUGGGGUAAUGGCUCACCUCGGCGACGAUCCCUAGCUGGUCUGAGAGGAUGACCAGCCACACUGGAACUGAGACACGGUCCAGACUCCUACGGGAGGCAGCAGUGGGGAAUAUUGCACAAUGGGCGCAAGCCUGAUGCAGCCAUGCCGCGUGUGUGAAGAAGGCCUUCGGGUUGUAAAGCACUUUCAGCGGGGAGGCGUUACCCGCAGAAGAAGCACCGGCUAACUCCGUGCCAGCAGCCGCGGUAAUAC
rnacentral:rRNA from 1 species